rnacentral:rRNA from 1 species
GCUUACGGCCAUACCACCCUGAACACGCCGAUCUCUCCGAUCUCGGAAGCUAAGCAGGGUCGGGCCUGGUUAGUACUUGGAUGGGAGACCGCCUGGGAAUACCAGGUGCUGUAAGCU